rnacentral:rRNA from 1 species
UACGUAGGGACCGAGCGUUGUCCGGAAUCAUUGGGCGUAAAGAGCGUGUAGGCGGCUAUUUAAGUCCUGCGUGAAAUCCUGCGGCUCAACCGCAGACGGUCGUGGGAAACUGGAUGGCUAGAGUGCGGGAGAGGAGAGUGGAAUUCCCGGUGUAGCGGUGAAAUGCGUAGAUAUUGGGAAGAACACCGGUGGCGAAGGCGGCUCUCUGGACCGAUACUGACGCUGAGGCGCGAAAGCGUGGGGAGCAAACAG